rnacentral:rRNA from 1 species
AGGGCACCACCAGGAGUGGAGCCUGCGGCUUAAUUUGACUCAACACGGGAAAUCUCACCAGGCCCGGACACCGGAAGGAUUGACAGAUUGAGAGCUCUUUCUUGAUUCGGUGGGUGGUGGUGCAUGGCCGUUCUUAGUUGGUGGAGCGAUUUGUCUGGUUAAUUCCGAUAACGAACGAGACUCUGGCCUACUAAAUAGACGUUAGAUCCCUUUGUGGGUCUAUCGCAGCUUCUUAGAGGGACGGGCGGCGUUCAGCCGCACGAGAUUGAGCAAUAACAGGUCUGUGAUGCCCUUAGAUGUUCUGGGCUGCACGCGCGCUACACUGAAGGAAUCAGCGUGUGUUCCCUGCCCGAAAGGACUGGGAAACCCGUUGAACCUCCUUCGUGAUGGGGAUUGGGGAUUGCAACUAUUCCCCAUGAACGAGGAAUUCCCAGUAGGCGCGAGUCAUAAGCUUGCGUCGAUUACGUCCCUGCCCUUUGUACACACCGCCCGUCGCUACUACCGAUCGAGUGAUUUAGU